rnacentral:rRNA from 1 species
CAUGCAGUCGANGAUGAAGCCCUUCGGGGUGGAUUAGUGGCGAACGGGUGAGUAACACGUGGGCAAUCUGCCCUUCACUCUGGGACAAGCCCUGGAAACGGGGUCUAAUACCGGAUAACACCGGCUUCCGCAUGGGAGCUGGUUAAAAGCUCCGGCGGUGAAGGAUGAGCCCGCGGCCUAUCAGCUUGUUGGUGGGGUAAUGGCCUACCAAGGCGACGACGGGUAGCCGGCCUGAGAGGGCGACCGGCCACACUGGGACUGAGACACGGCCCAGACUCCUACGGGAGGCAGCAGUGGGGAAUAUUGCACAAUGGGCGAAAGCCUGAUGCAGCGACGCCGCGUGAGGGAUGACGGCCUUCGGGUUGUAAACCUCUUUCAGCAGGGAAGAAGCGAAAGUGACGGUACCUGCAGAAGAAGCGCCGGCUAACUACGUGCCAGCAGCCGCGGUAAUACGUAGGGCGCAAGCGUUGUCCGGAAUUAUUGGGCGUAAAGAGCUCGUAGGCGGCUUGUCACGUCGGGUGUGAAAGCCCGGGGCUUAACCCCGGGUCUGCAUCCGAUACGGGCAGGCUAGAGUGUGGUAGGGGAGAUCGGAAUUCCUGGUGUAGCGGUGAAAUNGCGUANA